UACGUAGGGGGCGAGCGUUGUCCGGAAUCAUUGGGCGUAAAGCGCGUGUAGGCGGCUCGAUAAGUCCGGUGUGAAACCUUGGGGCUCAACCCCAAGCCUGCACUGGAUACUGCCGAGCUAGAGUCCGGGAGGGGAGAGCGGAAUUCCUAGUGUAGCGGUGAAAUGCGCAGAUAUUAGGAGGAACACCAAUGGCGAAGGCAGCUCGCUGGGACGGUACUGACGCUGAGGCGCGAAAGCGUGGGGAGCAAACAGG
rnacentral:rRNA from 1 species